AUUGAACGCUGGCGGCAUGCUUUACACAUGCAAGUCGAACGGUAACAGGCCGCAAGGUGCUGACGAGUGGCGCAAGGGUGAGUAAUGCAUCGGAACGUGCCCAGUCGUGGGGGAUAACUACUCGAAAGAGUAGCUAAUACCGCAUACGAUCUAUGGAUGAAAGCGGGGGACCGUAAGGCCUCGCGCGAUUGGAGCGGCCGAUGGCAGAUUAGGUAGUUGGUGGGGUAAAGGCUCACCAAGCCAACGAUCUGUAGCUGGUCUGAGAGGACAACCAGCCACACUGGGAUUGAGACACGGCCCAUACUCCUACGGGAGGCAGCAGUGGGGAAUUUUGGACAAUGGGCGCAAGCCUGAUCCAGCAAUGCCGCGUGCAGGAAGAAGUCCUUCUGGUUUUAAACUGCUUUUGUACGGAACGAAACGGCUCUGGUUAAUACCCGGGGCUAAUGACGUUACCGUAAGAAUAAGCACCGGCUAACUACGUG
rnacentral:rRNA from 1 species